UGAGAGAAGAAAUAAGUUACCCCACCAAAUAAAUGUCUAAGGAAAAAGAAUAAAUUCUGCCUAUGGGCAAAGUGUCUGGAUGGGCUUGGGGUUAGGAAGAAUACACACACACAAGGCAGAGGAAGGGUAGAGUAGAAGGCAGACAAUAGGGUGCAGGAAGGAGUGCAGCUGUAGGGAAUAAAAACACUCAGGGGAAGGUCAUAUAAGGAGGACGGGGAAUCAUCACAUGGGUGAAGUUUUCAGGAAGGUGCUAUUGUGUGGAGACUCUUGAGGAGACCUGACCUUAUAAGGAAGAAAUAAAGAAUUACUUUUCAGAAAAAAUGAAGUUGCAGUUGUGCUCCUCUCCUCCGUAACAAAGGAAAUACCAGCCAUGUGUUCUUCAGAGCUGUCAGGUACGAGAGGUCAUUGAAGUCCUGUGUGGAUGUGAGAAUCACUGUAGGCCUGAUGCAUGGAGAGUUCACACACUGCAGGAGCCCAUUUCUGCUUUCAGAAUGUGUCAUUGUUGCUUGCUAUGGCUGAGUUGACCUAAGGAUUGGUAGGAGAAUUAAGCUAUACCGCUAGAUACCCAGCUAAGCAAGGGACUACAGUGCCAUGGUAGUUUGGAAGGGUGUAUGUAUUGACUGCCCAGAUGACAGGUGAAACUGCUGCUGCUGCGGGUUUCUGUCUGACUUUUCUUGAGUAGAGAUUCAGAUGUUCCCUAACUUUACGUUUCAUUGGAGGUGUAAGCUUUGCACCUGGCUCCAGUUCAUGGAAGAUGUGAGCAUGAUGAGCUUUGGGACAUUUAUGUAUGGACUUUGUACAUUAAGAGCUCUUUAAUUGCAUUGUCCGUGUCAUUUUCUGCCAAUGCAGGAUGACUUUUCCUCUGCAUUUUUAAUGGCAAAUGGAAUAUUGUAUCUUCAUAAAUUUGUUUUCAAAGCCAAA